GAGUGAUGAAGGUUUUCGGAUCGUAAAGCUCUGUUGUUAGGGAAGAACAAGUACCGUUCGAAUAGGGCGGUACCUUGACGGUACCUAACCAGAAAGCCACGGCUAACUACGUGCCAGCAGCCGCGGUAAUACGUAGGUGGCAAGCGUUGUCCGGAAUUAUUGGGCGUAAAGGGCUCGCAGGCGGUUUCUUAAGUCUGAUGUGAAAGCCCCCGGCUCAACCGGGGAGGGUCAUUGGAAACUGGGGAACUUGAGUGCAGAAGAGGAGAGUGGAAUUCCACGUGUAGCGGUGAAAUGCGUAGAGAUGUGGAGGAACACCAGUGGCGAAGGCGACUCUCUGGUCUGUAACUGACGCUGAGGAGCGAAAGCGUGGGGAGCGAACAGGAUUAGAUACCCUGGUAGUCCACGCCGUAAACGAUGAGUGCUAAAGUGUUAG
rnacentral:rRNA from 1 species